UACGGGGGGGGCAAGCGUUGUUCGGAAUUACUGGGCGUAAAGGCUCGUAGGCGGCCAACUAAGUCGGACGUGAAAUCCCUCGGCUUAACCGGGGAACUGCGUCCGAUACUGGAUGGCUUGAGUUUGGGAGAGGGAUGCGGAAUUCCAGGUGGUAGCGGUGAAAUGCGUAGAGAUCGGGAGGAACACCUGUGGCGAAGGCGGGUCGUCUGGACAGUUCCUGAGCACUGA
rnacentral:rRNA from 1 species